CAAAUACGGGUCCGGACGAGGAUUUGGGCCGGAUAUCCGACCCGGAUCAAAAUCCGGGUCGGUGUGUCCGUGUGGUCCGUAACGGACCAGAAAUCCAACCGACGGAGCCGCCGGAAAACUCCAUUUCCGGCGAGCUCCGUCCCUUUUUUUCACUCUUUUUCAACAUUUUAACCUCAAAUUCAAUAUUUUCUUACAUUUUAACCAUAAAAACAUGAAUUUAAUCCAUAUUCAUAUCCUAAACAUUCAAACUUUCACAAAUUCGAAGUAGUUAUUUAUAAAAAACAUGUCUAACCUUCCAGAAAAUGACGGUCUCCGACGAAUCGAGGUGGCUCUGGUCUUGGUCGAAGUUGGUGAGGUCCCGGCAGUCCGUAGGCGACGUCGACGGUCCGAGCAGAUUUUUCCUUUUUUUUUUUUUUUUUCCUCUCUAUUUUCUCUUCUCUUCUUUCCUUGAUGGGGGGUAUUUUCGACCCUACACAAAUAAUAACAUUUUCCCUCUUUUUUUUUUCUUUUUUUUUUUUUAAAACUUGGUCAAAGGCUAUUUUGAUAAACCUAUCGGGUGGGGCAGCCAUUGCCCACCAUUUCCUCGUAUUGUAUGUGUGUGUGAAAGAAAUGGGCAAUUGGGUUUUAAAUGGGCCACUAAAUCAAUUUGCAAAGAAAGUCCCACUACUUCAAUUAAACAUAACAUUUAAUACCUUAACUUUUAAUAAUAUUUAAAUAGCUUCCCAAAAUAAUUAUUAUUACAAAUUUUCCAUCUUAGACCCUCAAAAUAUUUUCAAUUUGUAAAAUAACUCCAAUAAAAUAAUUUACUUCAUUAAAGUCCUCAUUUGACUUUGACUUUGAAAAUUCAACUCUUGACUUUUAACUAGAUAAAAUGGUUUGUAACAAUUUGGUCUAUAUGUAUUCAUUUGAGCUGUGAAUAAAUCCAAAAUGGAACAGGUUUUUGAACAGUACAAAUUUAGGCUUACCAAGAUCUCCACUAAGUAUAAUUAUCAUGCCUUCAAUUUCUUCCUUUAGUGUAGAUUUCCCAAUUUUUUUUCGUUUUUCUUCUUCUGCAGUGCAAGCAGCAGGUUUCCCCAUUUUUUUUUAUUUAUCACAAGUUUGUUGGAAAAGUUCAUGUAAUAGAAAUGAAAUUUAAAUCUACACUUUGAUUUUUUGGUGUUUAUACAUUCUUGUUUGAUUUUCUAGAUUUUAGAAAAGUUCUGUAUUCCAAAUAAUAUAUGUCGAAAAAUAAAAAAUUCAAAAUAUUAUAGUUUAUAUGGGGUUUACUUUCUGUUUUUUUGGUGUUUAUACAUUCUUGUUUGAUUUUCUAGAUUUUAGAAAAGUUUCAUAUUCCAAAAAAUACACGUCAAAAAAUUAAAAAUUCAACAUGAGAUAAAGAGAUCUCUUCAUGGGAUAAAUGAUUUUUAUUUUUAUGUUUUAUUAUUUGCUAACUUGAGAUUGAAUGUAUUAACCGUCCAGUGUCAUUAGUGAUUGGUGCUAUAUCAUAAUUUGGAGACUUGGAAUGAUACAUUACCAAGUCAAGAGCUUUAUUUAAUUGAAAAAAAAAUCCAAUAAAAGAAAAUAAUAUGGACAUGUUUGAUAGUUCAAUUGGAUGGUUUUACUUCAACAACUAUCCAAAAACAUAACAUACAAAGAUAAGUUAAAACUUAACAAAGGUCAUAAAAAAUCCUCCUUUCCUUCCAAAAAAGAAACAAAAUUUAAAAAUACGUAAGACCCCAAAACCAAAAAAAAUAAAAACAACUAACUAACCUAACGAAGCUCGUAAUGGCACUUCACAUUCCGACCAUCUAAUUUGUUUGCAUAUUUCUUUUUGUUCCAGUUUCCUCGUCGAUAGAGAAGCUCCUUUUGCAGAUUUCUAAUUCUUGCACUUUCAUAUGGUCGUCAAACGAUGGAUUUGUUGUUCUUUAUGAAAAAUUUUAGGGCUUUUGUCGAGAGAGGGAGAGGAGCGUCUUUGGUUUGUUGGAAAGAUAUUUUGGGAGAGCAAACUUCAUUACAUUACCAAUGAAGUAACAGUAAAGAACCGGUUGUGGAAGGUUUCCGUCAUUUUUGAAAGCUAUCAAUUAGGAGAAAGGGAAUACAGCAAUGUUGGGUAUACGUGGGUUCUCUUUGACGGAACCCCGACCAAUACUCACAAAAAAGAUCUCAC
rnacentral:lncRNA from 1 species